rnacentral:rRNA from 1 species
UACGAAGGGGGCUAGCGUUGCUCGGAUUGACUGGGCGUAAAGGGCGCGUAGGCGGUUUGUACAGUCAGACGUGAAAUUCCCGGGCUCAACCUGGGGGCUGCGUUUGAUACGUGCAGACUUGAGUUCGGAAGAGGGUCGUGGAAUUCCCAGUGUAGAGGUGAAAUUCGUAGAUAUUGGGAAGAACACCAGUGGCGAAGGCGGCUCACUGGACGCGUAUUGACGCUGAGGUGCGAAAGCGUGGGGAGCAAACAGG